rnacentral:lncRNA from 1 species
AAACAAAAUGAAAAAAGUCAAAACAGCAAAGAAAAGUCAACCAAAGUUAAAUUCAAACAUUUAAGAAUCAAUCUCAAUUGGUCUCACAUUCAAAUCAUGCAUUAUUAUCAUUUCAUGAACAUUUGAGGUCAAAGUAAGGCAAAUGCAAGCUCAAAGAAGUCAACAGAAUGACUUGCAUCAAAAGUCAACUCAAACAAUUUCAAAAAUCAUCAAACAAAUCACACUCAAUCCUAACAUCUAGCAUGGUAAGCAUGUCAAAUUUCAUUUCAUUUGGAUGAGAGGAAAGCAGUCAAUGAAAAUCAUGAAGUCAACAUAAUUUCAAGUAAGCACAAUGAAAGUCAACAAACAUGGGUCAACUUCAAAAAAUCAUAACAAAUUGAAAACAGAUGAGAAAUGAAUGAGAUUAACACCAAUGCAAAGCUCAAGAUGUCUAGUUAUCACAUAUGAAAUUUCAUGGUCAUACAAUAUGGUAUGAGAAUUUCCCAAAGGAUUUGGCAACAUGUAGCACAAAAAGUCAACAU